AACGUAGGACGCAAGCGUUAUCCGGAGUUACUGGGCGUAAAGCGCGGGCAGGCGGCUCGAAACGUCUGAUGUGAAAUCUCCUCGCUCAACGGGGAGAGGCCAUUGGAAACGGUCGAGCUGGAGGGCAGUAGAGGUAGGCGGAAUUCCGGGUGGAGUGGUGAAAUGCGUAGAGAUCCGGAGGAACACCAGAGGCGAAGGCGGCCUACUGGGCUGCACCUGACGCUGAGCCGCGAAAGCGUGGGGAGCGAUCCGG
rnacentral:rRNA from 1 species